rnacentral:misc_RNA from 1 species
GAUGAAGAACGCAGCGAAAUGCGAGAAGUAAUGUGAAUUGCAGAAUUCAGUGAAUCAUCGAGUCUUUGAACGCACAUUGCGCCCUCUGGUAUUCCGGGGGGCAUGCCUGUUCGAGCGUCAUUACAACCCUCAAGCUUUGCUUGGUAUUGGACAUUGCCAGUUUCUGGCAGGUCUUAAAAUCAGUGGCGGUGCCAUUUGGCUUCAAGCGUAGUAAUUCUUCUCGCUUUGGAGAUCCAAGUGGUUACUUGCCAAUAACCCCCAAUUUUUUCAGGUUGACCUCGGAUCAGGUAGGGAUACCCGCUGAACUUAAGCAUAUCAAUAAGCGGAGGA